AACUCAAAAUAUUUCCAUGCUCUAACAAAACAGAGACGGGCUAGGAAUCAGAUCACGGGACUUCAUGAUGAAAAUGGAAAAUGGUCUACAGAGGAUA
rnacentral:sRNA from 1 species